rnacentral:rRNA from 1 species
UACGUAGGUGGCACGCGUUAUCCGGAAUUAUUGGGCGUAAAGCGCGCGCAGGUGGUUUCUUAAGUCUGAUGUGAAAGCCCACGGCUCAACCGUGGAGGGUCAUUGGAAACUGGGAGACUUGAGUGCAGAAGAGGAAAGUGGAAUUCCAUGUGUAGCGGUGAAAUGCGUAGAGAUAUGGAGGAACACCAGUGGCGAAGGCGACUUUCUGGUCUGUAACUGACACUGAGGCGCGAAAGCGUGGGGAGCAAACAGG